GACGAACGCUGGCGGCGUGCUUAACACAUGCAAGUCGAACGGAAAGGCCCUGCUUUUGUGGGGUGCUCGAGUGGCGAACGGGUGAGUAACACGUGAGUAACCUGCCCUUGACUUUGGGAUAACUUCAGGAAACUGGGGCUGAUACCGGAUAGGAGCUCCUGCUGCAUGGUGGGGGUUGGAAAGUUUCGGCGGUUGGGGAUGGACUCGCGGCUUAUCAGCUUGUUGGUGGGGUAGUGGCUUACCAAGGCUUUGACGGGUAGCCGGCCUGGGAGGGUGACCGGCCACAUUGGGACUGAGGUACGGCCCAGACGCCUACGGGAGGCAGCAGGGGGGAAUAUGGCACAAUGGGCGGAAGCCUGAUGCAGCAGCGCCGCGUGCGGAAUGACGGCCUUCGGGUUGUAAACCGCUUUCGCCUGUGACGAAGCGUGAGUGACGGUAAUGGGUAAAAAAGCACCGGCUAACUACGUG
rnacentral:rRNA from 1 species